rnacentral:rRNA from 1 species
GGUUAAGCGACUAAGCGUACACGGUGGAUGCCCUGGCAGUCAGAGGCGAUGAAGGACGUGCUAAUCUGCGAUAAGCGUCGGUAAGGUGAUAUGAACCGUUAUAACCGGCGAUUUCCGAAUGGGGAAACCCAGUGUGUUUCGACACACUAUCAUUAACUGAAUCCAUAGGUUAAUGAGGCGAACCGGGGGAACUGAAACAUCUAAGUACCCCGAGGAAAAGAAAUCAACCGAGAUUCCCCCAGUAGCGGCGAGCGAACGGGGAGCAGCCCAGAGCCUGAAUCAGUGUGUGUGUUAGUGGAAGCGUCUGGAAAGGCGCGCGAUACAGGGUGACAGCCCCGUACACAAAAAUGCACAUGCUGUGAGCUCGAUGAGUAGGGCGGGACACGUGGUAUCCUGUCUGAAUAUGGGGGGACCAUCCUCCAAGGCUAAAUACUCCUGACUGACCGAUAGUGAACCAGUACCGUGAGGGAAAGGCGAAAAGAACCCCGGCGAGGGGAGUGAAAAAGAACCUGAAACCGUGUACGUACAAGCAGUGGGAGCACGCUUCGGCGUGUGACUGCGUACCUUUUGUAUAAUGGGUCAGCGACUUAUAUUCUGUAGCAAGGUUAACCGAAUAGGGGAGCCGAAGGGAAACCGAGUCUUAACUGGGCGUUAAGUUGCAGGGUAUAGACCCGAAACCCGGUGAUCUAGCCAUGGGCAGGUUGAAGGUUGGGUAACACUAACUGGAGGACCGAACCGACUAAUGUUGAAAAAUUAGCGGAUGACUUGUGGCUGGGGGUGAAAGGCCAAUCAAACCGGGAGAUAGCUGGUUCUCCCCGAAAGCUAUUUAGGUAGCGCCUCGUGAAUUCAUCUCCGGGGGUAGAGCACUGUUUCGGCAAGGGGGUCAUCCCGACUUACCAACCCGAUGCAAACUGCGAAUACCGGAGAAUGUUAUCACGGGAGACACACGGCGGGUGCUAACGUCCGUCGUGAAGAGGGAAACAACCCAGACCGCCAGCUAAGGUCCCAAAGUCAUGGUUAAGUGGGAAACGAUGUGGGAAGGCCCAGACAGCCAGGAUGUUGGCUUAGAAGCAGCCAUCAUUUAAAGAAAGCGUAAUAGCUCACUGGUCGAGUCGGCCUGCGCGGAAGAUGUAACGGGGCUAAACCAUGCACCGAAGCUGCGGCAGCGACGCUGAUGCGUUGUUGGGUAGGGGAGCGUUCUGUAAGCCUGUGAAGGUGUGCUGUGAGGCAUGCUGGAGGUAUCAGAAGUGCGAAUGCUGACAUAAGUAACGAUAAAGCGGGUGAAAAGCCCGCUCGCCGGAAGACCAAGGGUUCCUGUCCAACGUUAAUCGGGGCAGGGUGAGUCGACCCCUAAGGCGAGGCCGAAAGGCGUAGUCGAUGGGAAACAGGUUAAUAUUCCUGUACUUGGUGUUACUGCGAAGGGGGGACGGAGAAGGCUAUGUUGGCCGGGCGACGGUUGUCCCGGUUUAAGCGUGUAGGCUGGUUUUCCAGGCAAAUCCGGAAAAUCAAGGCUGAGGCGUGAUGACGAGGCACUACGGUGCUGAAGCAACAAAUGCCCUGCUUCCAGGAAAAGCCUCUAAGCAUCAGGUAACAUCAAAUCGUACCCCAAACCGACACAGGUGGUCAGGUAGAGAAUACCAAGGCGCUUGAGAGAACUCGGGUGAAGGAACUAGGCAAAAUGGUGCCGUAACUUCGGGAGAAGGCACGCUGAUAUGUAGGUGAGGUCCCUCGCGGAUGGAGCUGAAAUCAGUCGAAGAUACCAGCUGGCUGCAACUGUUUAUUAAAAACACAGCACUGUGCAAACACGAAAGUGGACGUAUACGGUGUGACGCCUGCCCGGUGCCGGAAGGUUAAUUGAUGGGGUCAGCGCAAGCGAAGCUCUUGAUCGAAGCCCCGGUAAACGGCGGCCGUAACUAUAACGGUCCUAAGGUAGCGAAAUUCCUUGUCGGGUAAGUUCCGACCUGCACGAAUGGCGUAAUGAUGGCCAGGCUGUCUCCACCCGAGACUCAGUGAAAUUGAACUCGCUGUGAAGAUGCAGUGUACCCGCGGCAAGACGGAAAGACCCCGUGAACCUUUACUAUAGCUUGACACUGAACAUUGAGCCUUGAUGUGUAGGAUAGGUGGGAGGCUUUGAAGUGUGGACGCCAGUCUGCAUGGAGCCGACCUUGAAAUACCACCCUUUAAUGUUUGAUGUUCUAACGUUGACCCGUAAUCCGGGUUGCGGACAGUGUCUGGUGGGUAGUUUGACUGGGGCGGUCUCCUCCUAAAGAGUAACGGAGGAGCACGAAGGUUGGCUAAUCCUGGUCGGACAUCAGGAGGUUAGUGCAAUGGCAUAAGCCAGCUUGACUGCGAGCGUGACGGCGCGAGCAGGUGCGAAAGCAGGUCAUAGUGAUCCGGUGGUUCUGAAUGGAAGGGCCAUCGCUCAACGGAUAAAAGGUACUCCGGGGAUAACAGGCUGAUACCGCCCAAGAGUUCAUAUCGACGGCGGUGUUUGGCACCUCGAUGUCGGCUCAUCACAUCCUGGGGCUGAAGUAGGUCCCAAGGGUAUGGCUGUUCGCCAUUUAAAGUGGUACGCGAGCUGGGUUUAGAACGUCGUGAGACAGUUCGGUCCCUAUCUGCCGUGGGCGCUGGAGAACUGAGGGGGGCUGCUCCUAGUACGAGAGGACCGGAGUGGACGCAUCACUGGUGUUCGGGUUGUCAUGCCAAUGGCACUGCCCGGUAGCUAAAUGCGGAAGAGAUAAGUGCUGAAAGCAUCUAAGCACGAAACUUGCCCCGAGAUGAGUUCUCCCUGACUCCUUGAGAGUCCUGAAGGAACGUUGAAGACGACGACGUUGAUAGGCCGGGUGUGUAAGCGCAGCGAUGCGUUGAGCUAACCGGUACUAAUGAACCGUGAGGCUUAACCUU